rnacentral:rRNA from 1 species
UAGGGAAUAUUGCUCAAUGGGGGAAACCCUGAAGCAGCAACGCCUCGUGGAGGAUGAAGGUUUUCGGAUUGUAAACUCCUUUUGUUAGAGAAGAUAAUGACGGUAUCUAACGAAUAAGCACCGGCUAACUCCGUGCC